AUCGCUCUCAGCCUUUUGGCUAAGAUCAAGUGUAGUAUCUGUUCUUAUCAGAAGCAGACAAUACGAAACCAUGUAUGUAUGGUCAACUAAUCUUCCACAGAAGUAUCAAGAAUACAAUUAGUACAGGAUAAUCUAU
ensembl:snRNA U2 U2 spliceosomal RNA